UAGGUUUAUAUUUUAUAUAAAAUAUUUAGUUUGCAUCUAAAAGAAAUCGGUUGAAUUUACCUAG
rnacentral:tRNA from 1 species